rnacentral:rRNA from 1 species
AUGUGGUUUGCAUCAUUGCGGCGACGGCAUCGUCCAUCUUCAGCUCCGGCAGGACUAGCACAAUUCUCGCAGCUGAUGGCUGUGGAAAGCUGGAAAAUUUGCCUUUUCUAUCAAGAUGAGAAUCAACAACAUAAAGUUCUAGAAGGAUUCAUGGACAGAAAAGAUAUCUCCUUUUAUGAGUUAGUCAAAUUGAUUGAAGAAGUUGGCUUCUCGCCGGCAUAUGGUUUCUUGUACUACAGGAAGAAAUACCCUCGUGGCAGAUGCUAUUCUGACAUUGCUUCUGACCAUGAAAUACUUUGUGUUCAGUCUUCCCCUGGAAGUUAG